rnacentral:rRNA from 1 species
AUGGAGCAUUGCAUGAGAGCUUCACAACCACUUCUUAGAGCUUUGAGGAUCGCUGAUGGUGAUGAGACUCCGGCUAUGGCAGAAAUGUGGGCAGCCAUGGAUUUUGCAAAGACACACAUAAAGGAAGCUUUGGCACAUAAGCCAAACCUCCUAGGUCAAGUGGUAGCUAUUGUUGAUAAGAGGUGGGAUAAACAGAUGGAACAAAAGCUACAUGGGGCUGCUUUGUUCUUGAACCCAAAUAAAUUCUUUGCCAUUAAGGAGUCCAACGGAAGACAAGCUGCCCGUCUCCGUUCAAUGUUCAAUGAUGUGCUAUGGAAGAUGGUGCCCGAUGAUGAGCAGCAAGCAACUAUUAGUAGGGAAGCUGACGACUAUGAGCUGGGGAGUGAAUGUUUCUCGAAGCCAUUGUCAAUUAAAGACCGUGACAAAAAAAGCCCUCUUCUUUGGUGGAAUGCUUAUGGUGGCCUUGCUUUUGACCUCCAAACUCUUGCAAAGCGAAUCAUUAGUCUAUGUUGCUCAGCAUCUGGCUGCGAGCGCAAUUGGAGUGUAUUUGCUCAUAUCCACACCAAAGGGAGAAACCGUCUAGAGUACAAGAGAUUGAACAAGCUAUCAUAUGUCUCGUACAACCGGAAAAUGGAAGCUAGGUUUCAGAAUCUGCGUGAGCAAGGCUCUAAAGCAAAGAAAUCUAGUCCACUUGUCCUAGAAGAAUUUGAAUGGGAUAAUGAGUGGGUUGAUAUCAAUGCUGAAAUGGUACAUGAAGAUCAAGCUCAAGUCAUGGACGGUGAAACACCACUACUUUGGUCUCAGGUUGAUGAAGCCAUGGGUGCA